ensembl:lncRNA
GUGGUGCCCGAUCCCGAGGCCGUUCCCGAGGCGGUGCCCGAUGCCGUUCCUGAGACCGUUCCCGAGGCGGUGCCCGAUGCCGAGGUCGUUCCCGAGGCGGUGUCCUUGUCCGAUGCCGUUCCUGAGGCCAUUCCCGAGGCGGUGCCCGAUGCUGUUCCGGAGGCCGAUGCGGGGCCCGAGAUGGUUCCGGAGGCGAUACCCGUGUCCAAGGCCGUUCCCGAGGCGGUGCCCUUGUCUGAGGCCGUUCCCGAUGCCGUUCCCAAUGCCGUGACCUGGCCAUCGCCACAGCCUGCUCCUUACUGGCUCCCCGAUUGGCAGGUUCCGUUCGGGCCACUCAAAUGGCGAAUUCCUCCCUGGCCGUCUGCACAACGAGAAUGGACUGAUCCACCGUGGCCACCUGAACUGCCUGGUCCCUCGUGGUCCCCUGAACUUUCGGGUCCACCGUGGCCACCUGAACUG